rnacentral:lncRNA from 1 species
UCAGAAACUUUCAAAUAUUAAGGUCAGAGCCUGUCAUUCACUGAAAGUGUUGUAUAAUAUUUGACUCAGGUUAAAAAAGAACUUUUUGUUUGCCUCAGGUCAAAACAAAAAAAUAACACCCUAGAAUACAAAUAAAUUCUUCUUUACAUAACAUGAAGUGGUCUAGAAAUAGGAAAUCUAUUAAUUCAGUUGUGCUUUGAUUUCUACCUUACACAGAAAGAAUAUCCAGCACUAUCAGUCACAGAAAUGAAGAGGAAGAUUAAGGUUUGCUGAGUUGCUGAAGAAAGAACGAUUACUUAACUCCAUGGACAGAUUUUAUAUAAGCUUUCAGAAGUUUUGUGAAUCUUCUUGCUGCAAUUAAAACUCAGUAAUAUUUCUGUAGGAAGUUAACUAGGAGGACUGAGAGGACUGUAAUUAAAUGAUCAGAAAGGCUUUGUUUAGCAUUUUUGAGAAAAGAGGAGCUGUUAACUAAUACCAAAGCAACAAAAUUCCCAGGGUAAAAUAGAAUUUGAGGCAUUUAGAAAUUAUAUAAAAAAAACAACCAACAACAACAGCACUCUCUGUUCAUUCGAUGAAAAAGAUGAUAGAUUUAAUGGGUGUCUAAUGAUUGUUUUGUAAUGUAAUUAGAGUUGCUAGAUAAUAGUUGUGUUAUUAUGAUUAGCCUGAAUUCAAAGAAUAGGAACACUAAUGUCAUUGUGUAGAAAAUACUGUGAUUUUUAGGCUUGUUGUUAUUUACAACUUUUGAAAGAGCAGAUUUUUCCAAGAAUGCUGUGUUUCAGAGUUUAAUAGAUUUUUCAAGCCAUUAAUAAACUAUGAAAACUGGGGAUAGUUCUGAAUCCCUGAAGUUCAGAUGUACCUUCACUCCAAGUCAACAUGAGACAUAGAUGUACACAAACCCUGCCAUUAAACUUUUUGUUCAUGGCUUCUGUAAAAUGAAAGCUGAGUGUCUGCUUCACUGAGAGGUCAUGUAUGUGCUCUGACAGGUGCAUGACGUGAAUAAUUUGGGGAGCAAGAUUUUUGGGAAAGGUCAGUCUCCAUACAGACACUCUUCCUAUGCUGUGCUCCAGCUCACUGAGCAGCUCCACUGUGCUCCAGCUUCUCUGAACUGCCAGCCAGUGUACCACAGCAAAAAUAAAACUGCAAGACUGUUUUGAGCUUUCUUACUUGAAACUGUUGACUGAUCGAGUAUUGCUGCUAGCUCAAAGGCAAACAAUAUUGCACUGACUCUGUUGCUCACCUACCAUCCUGCUGGAUCUGAGAGCAUCUUGGCGUUCAUUCAGAAGUUUGUAACCUUGUAGCAGAGACCAAAUGGGUUUGGAUUGCUUCUGAGCAUGGAACUUUGAAUCUAGGAUCCUAACUUCCUUUUGCUUUUCCAGCACUGUACAACUGUGCAUAAAAUGUGGCUUAUCUGU